rnacentral:rRNA from 1 species
AGAGCGAACGCUGGCGGCAGGCUUAACACAUGCAAGUCGAGCGGGCGUAGCAAUGCGUCAGCGGCAGACGGGUGAGUAACGCGUGGGAACGUACCUUUUGGUUCGGAACAACCCAGGGAAACUUGGGCUAAUACCGGAUAAGCCCUUACGGGGAAAGAUUUAUCGCCGAAAGAUCGGCCCGCGUCUGAUUAGCUAGUUGGUGAGGUAAUGGCUCACCAAGGCGACGAUCAGUAGCUGGUCUGAGAGGAUGAUCAGCCACAUUGGGACUGAGACACGGCCCAAACUCCUACGGGAGGCAGCAGUGGGGAAUAUUGGACAAUGGGCGCAAGCCUGAUCCAGCCAUGCCGCGUGAGUGAUGAAGGCCCUAGGGUUGUAAAGCUCUUUUGUGCGGGAAGAUAAUGACGGUACCGCAAGAAUAAGCCCCGGCUAACUCGCGCCAGCAGCCGC